rnacentral:rRNA from 1 species
GGUAGUAAUACUGGAUGAGUUUAGUGGCGGACGGGUGAGUAAUGCAUGGGUAACGUACCCCAGGCACAGGGAUAGCGGUGCGAAAGCGCCGGUAAUACCUGGUGAUAUCCGGGAGUCGCAUGGCUUCUGGAUCAUAGGUGGGGACCUUCGGGCCUACUGGCCUGGGAUCGGCCCAUGUCCUAUCAGCUUGUUGGUGGGGUAAUGGCCUACCAAGGCGAAGACGGGUAGCCGGCGUGAGAGCGCGACCGGCCACAUCGGGACUGAGACACUGCCCGGACACCUACGGGUGGCUGCAGCAACGAAUAUUCCGCAAUGGGCGCAAGCCUGACGGAGCGACGCCGCGUGGAGGAUGAAGUCUUUCGGGAUGUAAACUUCAAUAGUUUGCCAGGAAGCAAAGGGACCUAAUACGUCCCGGCGUUGACCAGCGAACGAAAGGGGCGGCUAACUCCGUGCCAGCAGCCGCGGUAAGACGGAGGCCCCUAGCGUUGUUCGGAAUCACUGGGCUUAAAGAGGGUGUAGGCGGAGCAGCAAGUACUUUGUGAAAGCCCCGGGCUCAACCCGGGAAUUGCUUGGUAUACUGUUGCUCUUGAGGCAGGUAGGGGUCACUGGAACCUUAGGUGGAGCGGUGAAAUGCGUAGAUAUCUAAGGGAACGCCUGUGGCGAAAGCGGGUGACUGGGCCUGUCCUUGACGCUGAGACCCGAAAGCGUAGGGAGCAAACAGGAUUAGAUACCCUGGUAGUCUACGCCGUAAACGAUGCGCACUAGGUUCGAGAGCUACUGACGGCCCUCGUGCCGAAGCAAAAGUACUAAGUGCGCCGCCUGGGGAGUACGCCCGCAAGGCUCAAACUCAAAGACAUUGACGGGGGCUCACACAAACGCUGGAGCAUGUGGAUCAAUUCGAAGCAACGCGAAGAACACCACCCGGGUGUGACACGCACGGAUGCCCCUCUGGAGACAGGAGUAAGCAGCCACUCGGGUGAAACGUGCACAGGUGCGUGCAUGGCAGUCGUCAGCUCGUCCUGUGAAGUGUACAGGGUUAAGUCC